UACGUAGGGUGCGAGCGUUAUUCGGAAUUACUGGGCGUAAAGCGUGCGCAGGCGGUUCGCUAAGACCGAUGUGAAAUCCCCGGGCUUAACCUGGGAACUGCAUUGGUGACUGGCGGGCUAGAGUGUGGCAGAGGGGGGUAGAAUUCCACGUGUAGCAGUGAAAUGCGUAGAGAUGUGGAGGAAUACCGAUGGCGAAGGCAGCCCCCUGGGAUGAUACUGACGCUCAUGCACGAAAGCGUGGGGAGCAAACAGG
rnacentral:rRNA from 1 species